CUGAAAUGGAACCUGAAGCAAGCACUGCUCUGAACUUCCACAGGCUGUAAAUCAGGUUGUGAUAGAAAGGUCACUGUGUGUGGUCUUCCCAAUAACCUCUCAAACCAUCAACAAAUUUUUUUUAAAUCCACUUUGCUUGCUCUCCUCCUUGACCCUGGCCUCAUCCUUCUUUUUCUCCUUGGAUAUAUCAUAGUUCUGAUUAUUUUUAUUCCUUUGCCUAAGGCUGCAGAACCCUAGUCUCACUUCUACAGGAACAUUUCCUUAUUUGAGAUUUGUUGUAAGUGCCAGCUCCCAACUGGGACUGACUUCUGAGAAUGACACAUAACUACAACAUUUGAUGUAGAAAAUGCAGCUUAAUCACAAGGGACUUGUGAGGGCAGGAUGCAUUUUAUAUUGGACUGCGGGUUAAACUGGGCUAGGAGCUGUGAUAGUUGCAAACCUAGGGACAAUAGUAGAAUGCAAACAGACAAAGGAAGGCAUGAAAAUAUGAGAAUAGGAGAAAGUUAAAUAAGAAAGGUAAAAAGACAAAAAGAAAACCCUAAAAAUAUCUUUAAAAGCAAGGCUAUCAGCUGGGAAUUGGUUAAGGGGAAGGAAGGAUGCAACUUCCUUUUCAGUUGUUAGGUUCUCUUUUUUUUUUUUUUUUUAUGUCUCAGAAGUUUUCAUAGUGCCAGGGCUGAUUUUCUGGGCUAAGAAACUGAAGACCCAUAUGGAGCAUUUCUGAGCUCCCAGGAAUUCUGAGGUUAUUGCCAGUGUUUCCAGUGUUUAACACAGCCUUCUUUUAUGGGCAGAGGGUGAAUGAGCUGAUGGGAAAGCCUCAGUAACCUAUUGGUGUCACCCCCUGGAAACAAGGACCUAAAAGGACCACAUCUUAUGUGGCAAAACUAAGGACAGGGUCAGUGAUCACACUGUGAUUAAAUGGCAUCAGAAGUCACCUAUGCUGAGGUGAAGUUCAAGAAUGCAUCACUGGCUGCAGUGGUUGAAGCACCUCCUGAGACGAAGAAGUGUGAGCACCACCCCCAGAAAUACCCACCAUGGCUCCCAUGGCUGAUCUCACUGUUGCUCCUCUUGACAUGCAUUGCCCUUGUUGUUGUUCUCCUUGUGGCUCCCUUCUCCCACAGCAGUGACCAGCCCACAGCCCUGCAGGAGAAAUUCACGGCGUGGGAUUGCAACUCAGCGGUGUCAGAAAACAAAGGUCAGUAGGGCUGGCAGGGGUACAGGAGGUCUUUGGGAUGGGGACAAUGAAUGCUGAGGUCUGCUCUGACAGCAAGUGGCAGCAGGAGCAGAC
rnacentral:lncRNA from 1 species